rnacentral:rRNA from 1 species
UACGAAGGGGGCAAGCGUUGUUCGGAAUUACUGGGCGUAAAGGGCGCGUAGGCGGCCUUCUAAGUCGAACGUGAAAUCCCCGGGCUCAACCCGGGAACUGCGUCCGAUACUGGAGGGCUUGAAUCCGGGAGAGGGAUGUGGAAUUCCAGGUGUAGCGGUGAAAUGCGUAGAUAUCUGGAGGAACACCGGUGGCGAAGGCGACAUCCUGGACCGGUAUUGACGCUGAGGCGCGAAAGCCAGGGGAGCAAACGGG